CCUACGGGCGGCAGCAGUGAGGAAUAUUGGUCAAUGGGAGAGAUCCUGAACCAGCCAAGCCGCGUGAGGGAAGACGGCCCUAUGGGUUGUAAACCUCUUUUGUCGGAGAACAAAACGCGGGACGUGUCCCGGACUGCGUGUAUCCGAAGAAAAAGCAUCGGCUAACUCCGUGCCAGCAGCCGCGGUAAUACGGAGGAUGCGAGCGGUAUCCGGAUUUAUUGGGUUUAAAGGGUGCGUAGGCGGUCGCGUAAGUCAGCGGUAAAAUGGCGGGGCUCAACCCCGUCUAGCCGUUGAAACUGGCAGACUGGAGUGGGCGAGAGGUAGGCGGAAUGCGCGGUGUAGCGGUGAAAUGCAUAGAUAUCGCGCAGAACUCCGAGUGCGAAGGCAGCGUACCGGCGCGAGACUGACGCUGAGGCACGAAAGCGUGGGGAUCGAACAGGAUUAGAUACCCCAGUAGUC
rnacentral:rRNA from 1 species